GGUUUCAUGGGGUAGCGGUUAGCCCCCGAGAUUCUGAUGCUGAAUUUCUCGUGACCCCGGUUCGAUUCCGGGUGAGACCU